rnacentral:rRNA from 1 species
AUGGCGUCCAAUAGCGUGUUUGCUGAGUUGCUCAGGAACUACAAGUUAGAUGGCACAAACUUCACUGUUUGGAAAAGGAAGAUGAUGUUUCUGCUUACAGCUGAGAAUAUUGAGUAUGUAAUUUUAAUAGCAGAGCCUAACGAACCUCCUGAUGACGCUUCAGAUGAGGAAAAGGAUAAUUAUGCAGAAGAACUCAAGGAGUGGAAUAAGGACAAUAAAAAUGCUAGGAUUUUUAUUCUUGGCUCCAUGUCCGAUUCGUUGGCAGGUGAAUAUGAAACAGAGGUUGCUGCACACAGGAUUAUGAGAAGGCUGAAAGAGGAUUUUGGUGAAGUUACUUUAAUCAAAGUGCUUAUCUUGCUGAACAGAUUCUUGACGUCUAAGAUGGCAGAUAAUACUUCUGUCAAUGAGCACUUAAACAAGUUGUGUGUGCUGAAUGAGGAAUUGAAAAAUGCUGGCUAUCCUUUUUUUGAGGAGGUGCAAGUAAUGGUGGCUCUGAACUCACUUCCGCACACUUGGGAACAAUUUAAAGUAUCAUUCUGUCACUUUGAAAGAUUACUGAACAUGCACAAUUUGAGGCAUCAUUUGCUCAUGGAAGAAGAUAGGAGAACUUCACAAGGGAAAGAGAGACAGUCACAUCAUCAGGAGUUACACCUUGGUGAAGAUAGGAGGUGUUGGCAGAAGAAGCAUCAAGGAGGUGAUUUGAGGGACAAAAUCAACAGGAAGAGAAACUGGGAUGAUCAUAAUGGAAGAGGUCCAAACUCUAGUUUUGAUAAGAGGAAAUUUAGAUGUCAUUGUUGUGGAGAGUAUGGGCAUUUUAGAACUGAGUGCAAGAAUAAGAAGCCUUAUAAACAAGAUGACAAGUCUAAGAAGCAGCACCAGGACAAGCAGGACAAGCAUCAGGGCCACAACAAGGAUAAUUCUUCUCCUGAUGCUGCAGGGCUAUACUGA